rnacentral:snoRNA from 1 species
AAUCCAUGCAUCGGACAUUUUCUAAAUAACUCCUUAAAUUGCUCUUAUGCUUCAAAUAACGUUUUAUCUUCAAAUUACAGAAAAGAUGCCAUAUCAUUUCUCAACUU